rnacentral:rRNA from 1 species
AUUAAGGUAUAAAAAUUUUAAUUAAAAAUAUUUUAAAACAUUUUUAAAUUAAGUUAUGGUGAUUAAAAAUUAUUUAAUUAGUACCUUAAAAUAAGUACUGUGAAGGAAUAUUAGUAAAUUAAACAUAAGAAAAAAUUUAAACUUGUACCUUUUGCAUCAUGGUUUAGCUAGAUAUGCAUUUUAUAUUAUAAAUUUCUCGAAACCUAAUGAGCUAUUUUUAUUCUUUUUAUUAGAAAAUUAGGACUAAUUGUAGCAAAAAUUUUCCUAGAAAUAAAAAUAGAAAUGAAAUUUUAUCCGUAUUAGGUGAUAGCUAGUUCUUUUAUUAAGGCAUAGAAGUGCUCCAAAUCAAAUUUUCUUUAUAAAAUAAAUAUAAAAUAAACUUUGAUUUGAUUAUAUUUUUGAGGAUAAGCUCGAAAAUCAGAAAUUACAUUUACAUAUCAUUUUAACUGAAAUUUAAGCUUGAAGAUAGCUAUAAUUAUGAUUUUGUUACAAUUCCAUUAAACAAAUCAAAAAAUGAUUUAUUUGUUCUAAAUAAUAAAAGAAAACUUUUAGAUUAACAUUUAAGUUAAACUUAUGCUAAAAUGAGUAUUAAUUACUAUAUAAAUUUUUAAUAAUAUAUACAUUAAAUCUAACUUUUAUAUACAACUUUUGAAAUCAUAAAAAGGAACUCGGCAAAUACAUAUUCUGCCUGUUUAGCAAAAACAUGGCUCCUUGAACCUAUAUAAAUAAGGAGUCGGACCUGCCCAGUGAAUUUUCUUUAACGGCCGCGGUACUCUGACCGUGCAAAGGUAGCAUAAUCAUUUGCCUUAUAAUUGAAGGCUAGUAUGAAUGGUUUGACAAGAAUAUAGCUGUCUCUUUAUGAUUAAAUAGAAUUUUAUAUAUAGGUGAAGAAGCCUAUAUCUAAUUAAAAGACAAGAAGACCCUAUCGAGCUUUAAAUAAAUUAGUAGGUGCAAUUAAUUAAUAAAACUAAAAAAUUAACUACUAAAAAUUUUUAGUUGGGGCGACUGAGGAACAAAUAAAGCUUCCUUUAUAUUUAUAAAUCACACAAGUACUGAUCCAAAAUAUUUUGAUUAAAGGAAUUAGUUACCGUAGGGAUAACAGCAUUAUCUUUUUUAAGAGCUCUUAUCGAAAAAAAGGUUUGUGACCUCGAUGUUGGACCAGAAUAUCCUAAAGAUGCAGAAGUCUUUAAGGGUUGGUCUGUUCGACCAUUAAAAUUCUACGUGAUCUGAGUUCAGACCGGCGUGAGCCAGGUCAGUUUCUAUCUUUAAUUUAUAUAAAUAAACUUAGUACGAAAGGACCAGUUUAU